CAUCCAUGGACUGGGGGCCAGAAAGGAGUAAGGAAGGAGCUUUACUCCACAGCAUGAACUCGGAGGUGAUGAGCUGCCUCACCAAAGUCCUGAAAGCAACAGAAGACAAGUGGCCUUGGCCUGAAUCCAGGAGGCAGAAUAACCCCUUCCUGACUGGAAGCUGCCAUCUCAGGUGCUGUAUCACUCUGACUUCUGAGGAGCACACAGCCUCAUCUUCUCCACCGGCAAGGACACAAUGUGGCACUCAUAACCCAGGCCUGACCUUUCCCAGGUGCUUUGCUUGGCCUGCC
rnacentral:lncRNA from 1 species